AUUGAACGCUGGCGGCAGGCUUAACACAUGCAAGUCGAGCGGAGAUGAGGUGCUUGCACCUUAUCUUAGCGGCGGACGGGUGGGUAAUGCUUAGGAAUCUGCCUAUUAGUGGGGGACAACAUUCCGAAAGGAAUGCUAAUACCGCAUACGUCCUACGGGAGAAAGCAGGGGAUCUUCGGACCUUGCGCUAAUAGAUGAGCCUAAGUCGGAUUAGCUAGUUGGUGGGGUAAAGGCCUACCAAGGCGACGAUCUGUAGCGGGUCUGAGAGGAUGAUCCGCCACACGUGGACCGGGACACGGCCCAGACUCCUACGGGAGGCAGCAGUGGGGAAUAUUGGACAAUGGGGGGAACCCUGAUCCAGCCAUGCCGCGUGUGUGAAGAAGGCCUUAUGGUUGUAAAGCACUUUAAGCGAGGAGGAGGCUACUGAGACUAAUACUCUUGGAUAGUGGACGUUACUCGCAGAAUAAGCACCGGCUAACUCUGUGCCAGCCGCCGCCGUAA
rnacentral:rRNA from 1 species